rnacentral:rRNA from 1 species
CGAGCAGGGUCGAAAGACGGACUUAGUGAUCCGGUGGUUCCGCAUGGAAGGGCCAUCGCUCAACGGAUAAAAGCUACCCCGGGGAUAACAGGCUUAUCUCCCCCAAGAGUUCACAUCGACGGGGAGGUUUGGCACCUCGAUGUCGGCUCAUCGCAUCCUGGGGCUGUAGUCGGUCCCAAGGGUUGGGCUGUUCGCCCAUUAAAGCGGUACGCGAGCUGGGUUCAGAACGUCGUGAGACAGUUCGGUCCCUAUCCGUCGUGGGCGUAGGAAAUUUGAGAGGAGCUGUCCUUAGUACGAGAGGACCGGGAUGGACAUACCUCUGGUGUACCAGUUGUCGUGCCAACGGCAUAGCUGGGUAGCUAUGUGUGGACGGGAUAAGUGCUGAAAGCAUCUAAGCAUGAAGCCCCCCUCAAGAUGAGAUUUCCCAACUUCGGUUAUAAGAUCCCUCAAAGAUGAUGAGGUUAAUAGGUUCGAGGUGGAAGCAUGGUGACAUGUGGAGCUGACGAAUACUAAUCGAUCGAAGACUUAAUCAA